CCUACGGGGGGCAGCAGUGGGGAAUUUUGGACAAUGGGGGCAACCCUGAUCCAGCAAUGCCGCGUGAGUGAAGAAGGCCUUCGGGUUGUAAAGCUCUUUUGUCAGGGAAGAAACGGUUUUGGCUAAUAUCCAGAGCUAAUGACGGUACCUGAAGAAUAAGCACCGGCUAACUACGUGCCAGCAGCCGCGGUAAUACGUAGGGUGCAAGCGUUAAUCGGAAUUACUGGGCGUAAAGCGUGCGCAGGCGGUUUUGUAAGACUGUCGUGAAAUCCCCGGGCUCAACCUGGGAAUGGCGAUGGUGACUGCAAGGCUAGAGUUUGGCAGAGGGGGGUAGAAUUCCACGUGUAGCAGUGAAAUGCGUAGAUAUGUGGAGGAACACCGAUGGCGAAGGCAGCCCCCUGGGUCAAAACUGACGCUCAUGCACGAAAGCGUGGGGAGCAAACAGGAUUAGAUACCCUGGUAGUCCACGCCCUAAACGAUGUCUACUAGUUGUCGGGUCUUAAUUGACUUGGUAACGCAGCUAACGCGUGAAGUAGACCGCCUGGGGAGUACGGUCGCAAGAUUAAAACUCAAAUGAAUUGACGGA
rnacentral:rRNA from 1 species